rnacentral:rRNA from 1 species
CACGUAGGGGCCAAGCGUUGUCCGGAUUCAUUGGGCGUAAAGAGCUCGUAGGCGGUUCAGUUAGUCGGGUGUGAAAUCUCCGGGCUCAACCCGGAGGGGCCACCCGAUACUGCUGUGACUCGAGUCCGGUAGGGGAGUGGGGAAUUCCUGGUGUAGCGGUGAAAUGCGCAGAUAUCAGGUGGAACACCAGUGGCGAAGGCGGCUUUCUGGACGAUAACUGACGCUGAGACGCGAAAGCGUGGGGAGCAAACAGG